AAAUAAUGGUUAUCACAUAGAGUUAUAACUCUUAAUUUCGAAAUGCAUAGGCACUUACAAGGAAAAUAGCCAAUGCCUGAGACUGUAACAUUCAGCUUUUAGGUGAAGUAACUUUGCCGCUGAUCAUUCUCCAUCUGAUGUCAAGAUCCUUGGUGGAAUCCACAUCAUUUCUCUCUUGCUUCGUUUGUAUUAUUCCCAAAGAAGAAUCUGAAAGCUUCUUUACCCCUCCAAGA